UCAGAUAGCAAGGGGGGUUCACAACACUUGUUCCUCUAUAUCUUUAUCCUUUAAGCAGCUUUCCCCCAGAAUGAUGUUGUGGGAGAAGUUUGGAAUUACUAGAAAUAAAUCAGGUUCAUACUUUUGCCCCACUAUUUCCCAACCACUUCCAAACUUUUGGAAAUACCCUCACAUGACACCUAGAAAACAACUGUGAAAGCAUCAAUCAGAGAAAUACCUUGAAAAGAGAAAACCACAUCCAGCAGCAGCCAAAACAAUCUCAUUUCUGUUCUUACCUGGUCUCCAGGCACUCCUGCCAGAGCUCCACACAGCCACUGCCAUUCCAUGAGGCUGAGGAGGCAGUCUUGGCCGUGUUCUUUGCCGUGAGACGGAACAACAGAGUCCAGAGAGUUUUCGUCGUCUCUUCCAAGUCACCCCACGAGCCCAUGGAGCAGCAUAAAUCUUGUGCUGAUGAUCAGAAGAUGCAAAUGCACACAGCCAUGCUCUCAGCUGGUGGAAACCAGCCCAGCUUUUGGCUGCCAGCUGGGGAAGAGAUUGUUUGAUGGGAGACGCAAACCUAGACAAGAGCAUCAAAUAUUUCCUUCCCUCUGAUAGCUGGAAGCAGAGUGCUGACUUGGCACUUGAAGACAAUAUCUCAGGAGCUCUUUGGCUGACAGAUAACAGAUAGACAGCUAAAGUACUGCACAAUUACUGGGUUUAUGACAUAGAAAAUUGAUGACAAAGUCCUUCAUGUGAUCAGUCCAUGUUUACCAGUGACAAAGGAAACAGCAGGUCCUGGGCGUGGAACCUCCUGCUGGCAGGACAAGGGCCUGGCAGCACAUUCCAGAUGUUUGUGCUGGGAGAACAGAGCAGAGCCAAGCCCUGAAGUCAGCUCCUGCAUAGUCGCAGGAGCACCUGCAGGCUUGGAGGGACUUGCUGACACCCUGCUGCACCACCCUAAAGAGAAGAGCCAAACAACACUGGGCUGUGCAACUUGACUGCUCCUGUGAGCUGGGCUGGCUGCUGCCAAGCCAGGUCAGCUCAGCUCUGCUGAACCUGCAGCCAGUUUAGGGAAGGCUGUGCCAAGGAACCCAGGGGGAACAGGCAGGAAGGUGGAAAGAUGAAUUGCUUCCCCUGAAAAUCCUAAGUGAUAUUCCAAGCUCUCACUAAAGGGUUAAAUUAGCUGUAAUCUCUUCUGGCCUUAUUUGCUGCAUUCAGACAAGCAGAACGGAUAACCUCACCCUUCUGCAUCCCAGUUUUCCCCCUGAGCAGAAAGAUGGGCUUCAUGUCAGCAAAGGAGCUGAAAUUGUCCCAUUUUUUGGGGGUGUGUACCCUAUUUCCUUUACAUCUCAGUGUCAUCUGUCCCUGCACCUGUAUGAGACAUGCUGACUGUCACCUUUGCUGCUGGGAGUGACGAGUUCUCUGAGGAAAAGGACACUCCCAGCCCUUGGUGGUGACCAUCUGUGCCAGAACCUUCUUCCUCCUCAUUCUUCUGCACACCUUGGUCACUGUCAUCAUCAUCAUUAUCAUCAUCUGCUGCAUUGUCCUCAAUCACUUCAACCC
rnacentral:lncRNA from 1 species